rnacentral:rRNA from 1 species
UACGGGGGGGGCAAGCGUUGUUCGGAAUUACUGGGCUUAAAGGGUGCGUAGGCGGCGCGGAAAGUUGGGUGUGAAAGCCCUCGGCUCAACCGGGGAAUGGCGCCCAAAACUACCGUGCUCGAGAAAGACAGAGGUGAGCGGAACUCAGGGUGGAGCGGUGAAAUGCGUUGAUAUCCUGAGGAACACCGGUGGCGAAAGCGGCUCACUGGGUCUUUUCUGACGCUGAGGCACGAAAGCUAGGGUAGCGAACGGG